AACGAACGCUGGCGGCAUGCCUAACACAUGCAAGUCGAACGAGACCUUCGGGUCUAGUGGCGCACGGGUGCGUAACGCGUGGGAACCUGCCCUUAGGUUCGGAAUAACUCCCCGAAAGGGGUGCUAAUACCGGAUAAUGUCUUCGGACCAAAGAUUUAUCGCCUUUGGAUGGGCCCGCGUUGGAUUAGCUAGUUGGUAGGGUAAAAGCCUACCACGGCGACGAUCCAUAGCUGGUCUGAGAGGAUGAUCAGCCACACUGGGACUGAGACACGGCCCAGACUCCUACGGGAAGCAGCAGUGGGGAAUAUUGGACAAUGGGCGAAAGCCUGAUCCAGCAAUGCCGCGUGAGUGAUGAAGGCCUUAGGGUUGUAAAGCUCUUUUACCCGGGAUGAUAAUGACAGUACCGGGAGAAUAAGCUCCGGCUAACUCCGUG
rnacentral:rRNA from 1 species